rnacentral:rRNA from 1 species
UACGUAGGGUGCGAGCGUUGUCCGGAAUUAUUGGGCGUAAAGAGCUCGUAGGCGGUGUGUCACGUCGGCCGUGAAAACCUGCAGCUUAACUGUGGGCGUGCGGUCGAUACGGGCAUCACUGGAGUUCGGCAGGGGAGACUGGAAUUCCUGGUGUAGCGGUGAAAUGCGCAGAUAUCAGGAGGAACACCGGUGGCGAAGGCGGGUCUCUGGACAGUUCCUGACACUGAGACACGAAGGCCAGGGGAGCAAACGGGG